UAAUGAUUGACAGGUCCUAUGGAGGAGGCAGCAGAGACUCUGCUCUCCUCGUUUGGAUUAAUUCUGAUAUAAUAACUGUUGGUUUAUUUAUCGGUGGAGCAGCACAACAUUUUCCACAGACAGUUUUCCUGCCUGUUGGCUUGUUUAACCAGUUUUCUACCUUCGGCUGAUUCUACCAGCAGACACUGAAAGGACUCUGAUAGUUCGAAUGAAAGCAGCAAUUCCUCCUUAAGGUCAGAGAUUGCAGCAUCUGAGGGCCUCUUCAAAAGAAGACGUAGUUGAUGAAGGCGUUCUGGAGCAGGACCAGAAAGACCACGACCAAGCAGCCUUGAGAUCUUAGGCAGCGUCUCCCUCGGGUCCCUCUCUAUCUCCCCACACAUCCACCAACCACUGGAACACAUCUCCAAAGUUCUGCCGGGCCAGCUCAGCUUCCCCUCAGAAGAAGUUCCGCCACCUGCCAGAUGAAGGAGCCUUUUGAGAGGCAGCUGGCAUCAUGAUUGGACUGUACUUUGGUCUGUUCCAAUCCAGCUUCAGCUCCAGAGACGGCAGGCGGAACGAGUCAACGGAGGCCGGGUGGACGAAGGCAUGCAGCUGAGUACAAUCCAGAAAACAACAGAGGAGGAGUGCAGCGGCCCAGAGCCAGAAUAAACAGAGUAGCAUUGUGUCUCUUAGAAAACAUCAUAGUAUAGCCUUUGCUAUGAAAAAACGCCAUCAUAUACAUUGUAGAUUGUACAAAUAACAAGUCAAAGGAAAGAGACAUACAUUGUAGAAUUGUAGUAAUUGUGGGCUGACUGAUUUACUGAUUAUCAGUAUUUUAUUUUUUACUGAUUUACGGUUAUAAAUACAUUUAAAAAUGGCGCUACUUUGGCUCUGAACCUUUAUCUACCUGUGGUGGCUCUGUCUUCUGGAGUGAUUUGAUUGGUUAUACGUCAAGAAUAAAACUCCUUUAACUUAACAUCUGUAAACAAAACAAUAACGUAUCAACAAAGUUUCCUGUUAGAGUUUGUGCUCUUCUAAGUUUAACUCCAAGAUUUUAAAUACUUUCAUUUACUGCAAAUGAAUAUCGACUCCAAAUGUCUCAGUAAUAAUCAUUAUCAGCCUUAAAAACCCACAAAACACCCCUCUAUACUCGACCACACUUAGUACAGUCCGGUUCCCCCUUCUGUAAAUCUGCUUGGAAUCUUCCACUUCCUGUUUGUCAAAGUGGCCUUCUACCUGGACAAGUUUUGUUGGAGCUCAUGCAACAAACAUUUUGGGUAACUGCACUUUAAUAUGGAUGGAUGACACUGAAUUAGAGUCUGUUUUAAUGAGACUGAGUUAAGAUGUGUAGCUCUGUCGUUAAAUAGGAAAUGAUUUCUCAGAAUUCACAGAGAAAAGUAUGAAAUGUUUGCUAGGUUAGCGUCCCACAUGUUCUUUGGCUCAGCUAAAGCUAACUCUCUCCAACCUCUGGAUCUCUUGAGUUGCUUGUUGUUAAAAUAUCUUGCUAUAGGUGCUGAAGCUCAGAAAGUCUGAGAUGUUUGUUCAGAAUAAGCUCAUUCUCAAGUCUUAUCUGAACUGUCCUCUUUUGUUUGAACUUUCCCUAAACUUAGGAGUUAAUGAAAGAGCAGCACAUCCAGACUCAGUCUCAUUUAUGUAGAGAUUAAACUUCAGUGUCAUUCAUUGAUGUUAAAGUGCAGUUUUUCAAAUGUUUGUUGCACAUGCUCCCGACCAAACCAGUCCAGGUGGAAGACGAUGUGAAGAGAAAGCUCCAGAGGAUGAAUAUCACACAUUUACGUUGGAAAUAAAUGUCCUUUAAUUUGACAUUGUCAUGCAAAAUUUGGAUUUCCCUUUAAUGGCGUUCAAGUCUUUGUUGAGUGUUUUGUUGAUGUUGGUUUCUAAAUGUUUUUUGACACUCGGCCCCAAAUAUUAAAACCUUCUACGGCUCACAAGCUGCAACAA